AGCGGAUCUCUUAAAGCCGUUCUCAGUUCGGACUGUAGGCUGCAACUCGCCUACACGAAGCUGGAAUCGCUAGUAAUCGCGGAUCAGCACGCCGCGGUGAAUACGUUCCCGGGCCUUGUACACACCGCCCGUCACACCAUGAGAGUCUGUAACACCCAAAGCCGGUGGGAUAACCUUUAUAGGAGUCAGCCGUCUAAGGUAGGACAGAUGAUUAGGGUGAAGUCGUAACAAGGUAGC
rnacentral:rRNA from 1 species